rnacentral:rRNA from 1 species
AAUAGAUACCCAGGUAGUCCACGCCGUAAACGAUGAGUGCUAGGUGUUAGGGGGUUUCCACCCCUUAGUGCUGCAGCUAACGCAUUAAGCACUCCGCCUGGGGAGUACGGUCGCAAGACUGAAACUCAAAGGAAUUGACGGGGGCCCGCACAAGCGGUGGAGCAUGUGGUUUAAUUCGAAGCAACGCGAAGAACCUUACCAGGUCUUGACAUCCCGCUGACCGCCAUGGAGACAUGGCUUUCCCUUCGGGGACAGCGGUGACAGGUGGUGCAUGGUUGUCGUCAGCUCGUGUCGUGAGAUGUUGGGUUAAGUCCCGCAACGAGCGCAACCCUUGUCCUUAGUUGCCAUCAUUCAGUUGGGCACUCUAAGGAGACUGCCGUACAAAUACGGAGGAAGGUGGGGAUGACGUCAAAUCAUCAUGCCCCUUAUGACCUGGGCUACACACGUGCUACAAUGGGCAGUACAAAGGGCUGCGAACCCGCGAGGGGGAGCCAAUCCCAAAAAGCUGCUCUCAGUUCGGAUUGCAGG